GCACUGCUGACGAGUCCUAAACUGUACGAAACAGCUGUCCAGUGC
rfam:Echinostoma caproni strain Egypt genome assembly, scaffold: ECPE_scaffold0004334